UCGGCAAAUUAGAUCCGUAACUUCGGGAUAAGGAUUGGCUCUGAAUAUUGAGAUAGUCGGGCUUGAUUGGGAAACAAUAACAUGGUUUAUGUGCUCGUUCUGGGUAAAUAGAGUUUCUAGCAUUUAUGUUAGUUACUUGUUCCCCGGAUAGUUUAGUUACGUAGCCAAUUGUGGAACUUUCUUACUACAAUUUUUAAGAAUACUAUUUGGGUUAAACCAAUUAGUUCUUAUCAAUUAUAACGAUUAUCAAUUAACAAUCAAUUCAGAACUGGCACGGACUUGGGGAAUCCGACUGUCUAAUUAAAACAAAGCAUUGUGAUGGCCCUAGCGGGUGUUGACACAAUUUGAUUUCUGCCCAGUGCUCUGAAUGUCAAAGUGAAGAAAUUCAAGUAAGCGCGGAUCAACGGCGGGAGUAACUAUGACUCUUUUAAGACAGAGGGGCGAUUAUAAGGAGAAAAUAGAGCAGAUAAGAGGGCAAUCAGCUCUCGUCCCGGAAGUUACUAAUCUAACCAUAAGGCGCCGCCCUAGUACAAGUGAGCAAAACCACCAUGUAACAACAUCGGAAACAACUCCAAUCACUCCCUUCGAACAGUCGAACAGUGAAAUUUUGCGGACACUGCGCGGGUAUAGCCCCGUAGAAUGCCAUUCCAAAUGGAGAGCCCAAGAGUUGCAAACUAUCAUUGAUAGGGCACAGCUCGAGGGAAAGGAAACCACUCUCCAAUGCUUAUCGCUAUAUCUCCUGGGAAUUUUUCCGGAACAGGGUGUACGACACACGCUGACGAGACCUCCUCGGACACCUCGGAAUAGGAGAGAGAA
rnacentral:ncRNA from 1 species